rnacentral:tRNA from 1 species
GAACGUAUGGCUUAGUGGUCAUAGCGCUUGUACGGUUUCCAAGAGGCACGGGUUCAAAUACCGCUACGUUUA